rnacentral:rRNA from 1 species
CCUACGGGAGGCAGCAGUGGGGGAUAUUGCACAAUGGGGGAAACCCUGAUGCAGCGACGCCGCGUGGGUGAAGAAGUAUUUCGGUAUGUAAAGCCCUAUCAGCAGGGAAGAAAGAAGACGGUACCUGACUAAGAAGCCCCGGCUAACCACGUGCCAGCAGCCGGGGUAAUACGUAGGGGGCGAGCGUUAUCCGGAUACACUGGGUGUAAAGGGAGCGUAGACGGCGGCGCAAGUCUGAAGUGAAAGCCCGUGGCUCAACCGCGGAACCGCUUUGGAAACUGCGAGGCUGGAGUGCUGGAGAGGUAAGCGGAAUUCCUGGUGUAGCGGUGAAAUGCGUAGAUAUCAGGAGGAACACCGGUGGCGAAGGCGGCUUACUGGACAGUGACUGACGUUGAGGCUCGAAAGCGUGGGGAGCGAACAGGAUUAGAUACCCCUGUAGUC